rnacentral:rRNA from 1 species
CCUACGGGCGGCAGCAGUAGGGAAUCUUUCACAAUGGGCGAAAGCCUGAUGGAGCAACGCCGCGUGCAGGAUGAAGGCCUUCGGGUUGUAAACUGCUUUUAUAAGCGAGAAAUAUGAUGGUACCUUAGGAAUAAGCCUCGGCUAACUACGUGCCAGCAGCCGCGGUAAUACGUAGGAGGCAAGCGUUAUCCGGAAUGACUGGGCGUAAAGGGUGCGUAGGUGGUUUGACAAGUUAGUAGCGCAACUCCGGAGCUCAACUUCGGAACUACUACUAAAACUGUUGGACUUGAGUGCAGGAGGGGCAAUCGGAAUUCCUAGUGUAGCGGUGGAAUGCGUAGAUAUUAGGAGGAACACCAGUGGCGAAGGCGGAUUGCUAGACUGUAACUGACACUGAGGCACGAAAGCGUGGGGAGCAAACAGGAUUAGAUACCCCGGUAGUC